UCUAACUGGGCAGGACUGUACCAGAUAUAUUCCUGACAAGGAAUAUACAAGGCUUGCACUGAUAGCAACUAAUGAGAGCACUAUCUGUCUUGUUAUUGGUUGCAGCCUCUACCAUGAUCGAUUUUUUACUGGAGUGUGGGUUUGAACAGGAAUUUUAAAUAUGUGGGAAGACCCUUUUCACCCUCAAACAGUCUGAUACUGCCAUCCUUCCUGCAGAGGCAAAAUCAUUGUAUCCUCGUCAGCUCCACUGUCUGCAAGAGAGAAGGAAAGCUAUUUCAAUGUAUAGCAUGCAUUUGACAGAUGACUGAAUGAAAAGGUUGAAGUUGGAAGGGGAAAGGUAAUGCAUACAACUGGAAUUUCCAACUGAAAUUUUGAAAUCGAGGUUCUGCGUGUGAUAUGGAA
rnacentral:lncRNA from 14 species